rnacentral:lncRNA from 1 species
CUCAGCACGCCCAGCUCGGACUGCAGACAGCCGCUCGCGCUCCCGGACCCCCGCCACCGAGUUCUGGGCGCCCCCCGGCUCGUAGCGCGUCAGAGCUGCGCCCGUCGCCGCGGCCCGGGGUCUUCGCCGCGCGGGCCGAGGAGCGGCAGAGUCCGCGACAUGCUGGCUCAGGAGAGCGGCGGAAGGGGCUUCUCUCCGGGACCGCGUCGGCUGCCGUCUCCUUUUCCUCGGGCAACUCUGGGGACUGAAGACUCGGUGUCGCCUGCCCAGCUCACGUUGGCCGGCAGCAAGUUAACUUCCCGGCCCCAGCCCUAGUUCAGUUGGGCGCGCGAGCGGCAAGCGGGCGCUCCUCCCCCGCGGCAGCUACGGCCGGUCAUGCGCCUGCCCGCCGUCUGCGCGCGCCCGCGUCUGGCCCGCCAGCACCGGCGCCCGCCGCCAUCAACAGGGACGCGAGAUCGGGACCCCUCCGAGUGUACAACUUUUGACUGUCCUCCUUUUGCCAUUGAGCGGGCCUCUAUUCCCUCAUCCCACUAUGUUUCUCAGCCUUCUUUUAGUAGGUACCUUUCUCUGAAGGGAGGAGAGAACUUCCACUUUGACUAUGGCCUUGUCGAAAUAAGAUCAAAGUCGGCGAGCUCAGGAGGCUUCCAUGGCCUUGGCAACUCAUGACUAGAGCCUGGGAAGAUUGCUGAUGCCUUAAACAAGAGUGGCAAUUUGUUAAGUCAACAACAGGAGUCACUGUGCACUUACUCCCCAUGUAGGAUCUCUGUCCUUAAUGUGUAGUUCAAUGUGAAUUAAUGAUAUGACUAGUGCUUAAACAGUAUUUGGCACUUUGUGUUCUUAGUGGGGGCAAACUGAUGAAAUCUUUACUUAAUAUAUACUAAAUCGAUCUUCUGUAUAUAAAGAUAAUUGAAAAUGAAUCUUGAUGUGAAUGGAAUGGGAGAGGGAGCGGGAGAUGGGAGGGUUGCAGGUGGGAGGGAAGUUAUGGGGGGGAAAAAGCCAUUGUAAUCCACAAACUGUACUUUGGAAAUUUAUAUCUACUAAAUAAAACUUUUUUUAAAAAAAGCCUUCUUGUUUUU